UGCAUCUUGGUGGAUUGCUUUCUAAAAUGUGGGAGAGAAAAAAGAGCAUGUGGAAGAACUGUGUCCAUACAGGAAUACGGUUGGAAAGGAAGGUAUAACAAACCAGCUUCUGAUUCCUUGUGUUGGAUUGUGCCUUUCAGUGUCACUUUUGACGGCUAACAGUUCUUUCUAGCAACUUCUGGGAUACAAAAUCCUCCUGCAGACUACUACCUAUGAGCAGCUACAGCAGCAGCUUAUUUAUGCCUGUUAAACCAGAAGUUCUGCCUGUUGUUUUUCCUGCCUUCAUCACUUUCCACUGCUAUAGUCUAGCUAUGUUAUACCAGGACAUUAAACAUUCAGCAAACAGAA